UUAAAGAAAAAGAAAAAAUAGUUUAUUUAACAAACGAAAAAACUGAUACAAAAAACCCAAAACUCGAUUUAAAAAAUGUUAUUAAAGCUAAACAAACGUAAAAAUUUGAAAGUAACUUUCAAUGAAAUAUGAGCAGAAUACGAUAAAGGGAAGGAAAACAAAGAAAACGAGGCAGAAACCCCCUAUAAAAAGAAUUCUUUUUAAAGUGUAAGAAUUUAAAAUGUGCAAACAAAACAAAAUCUAAAGAAUGAAUGCGAAUCGAAGCAAGAAAGAAAGAAAAAAGAAAAACUGAAAAAGAAUAAAACUAAAAGAAAACUAAAG
rnacentral:lncRNA from 1 species